UAUGGAUAUGUCACAGCCAUCAACACGGAUCGCGUGUCUCUACAGUGAUUAUAGAACACAAUAUCAUGUAUCGAAUUCACAUAGAAUUUGAAUCACGUGUGAUGUGCAUGCACGCUCCUAAUAACGAUACAAUGCUCUUUGGAACGUACUCUCACUUUGUUCACGCCUACCAUACCGCU